rnacentral:rRNA from 1 species
AGCGAACGCUGGCGGCAGGCCUAACACAUGCAAGUCGAACGAACCUUUCGGGGUUAGUGGCGGACGGGUGAGUAACACGUGGGAACGUGCCUUUAGGUUCGGAAUAACUCAGGGAAACUUGUGCUAAUACCGAAUGUGCCCUUCGGGGGAAAGAUUAAUCGCCGUUAGAGCGGCCCGCGUCCGAUUAGCUAGUUGGUUGAGGUAAUGGCUCACCAAGGCGACGAUCAGUAGCUGGUCUGAGAGGAUGAUCAGACACAUUGGGACUGAGACACGGCCCAAACUCCUACGGGAGGCAGCAGUGGGGAAUCUUGCGCAAUGGGCGAAAGCCUGACGCAGCCAUGCCGCGUGAAUGAUGAAGGUCUUAGGAUUGUAAAAUUCUUUCACCGGGGACGAUAAUGACGGUACCCGGAGAAGAAGCCCCGGCUAACUUCGUG